GAUGAACGCUGGCGGCGUGCCUAAUACAUGCAAGUCGAGCGAACGGACGAGAAGCUUGCUUCUCUGAUGUUAGCGGCGGACGGGUGAGUAACACGUGGAUAACCUACCUAUAAGACUGGGAUAACUUCGGGAAACCGGAGCUAAUACCGGAUAAUAUUUUGAACCGCAUGGUUCAAAAGUGAAAGACGGUCUUGCUGUCACUUAUAGAUGGAUCCGCGCUGCAUUAGCUAGUUGGUAAGGUAACGGCUUACCAAGGCAACGAUGCAUAGCCGACCUGAGAGGGUGAUCGGCCACACUGGAACUGAGACACGGUCCAGACUCCUACGGGAGGCAGCAGUAGGGAAUCUUCCGCAAUGGGCGAAAGCCUGACGGAGCAACGCCGCGUGAGUGAUGAAGGUCUUCGGAUCGUAAAACUCUGUUAUUAGGGAAGAACAUAUGUGUAAGUAACUGGGCACAUCUUGACGGUACCUAAUCAGAAAGCCACGGCUAACUACGGGC
rnacentral:rRNA from 1 species